rnacentral:lncRNA from 1 species
GGUUGCAGUGAGCCAAGAUGGCACAACUGCACUCCAGUCUGGGUGACAAAGUGAGACUCUGAUUCCAAAAAUAAAUAAAUUAAUUAAUUAAUAAGAUUUAGGGCCAUGCCAGGCACAAGUUAAGUCCUACACCUCUACAAUUAAAGAAUAAACUCUAUUCUCACUGCCACGAGGUUGUUCCUUUUCUCUAGCAGCUAAGUAAGUACUGACCUCAAGAUAAACAAUGUUAAAACGAUUUGCAGCUCAUCCAGCUCCAGAUGCUAACUGACCCCAUUCACCCACCAUAACUAGCUUUCUCUUCUUUUGAAACAGCGUCUCACUCUGUCCUCCAGGCUAGAGUGCAGUGGUGCAAUCCUGGCUGAGUGCAGCUUCAACCUCCCAGCCUCAAGCAAUCCUCCCACCUCAGCCUCCCAAGUAGCUGGGCCUACAGGUGUGCACCACUAGGUGUACCAGUAGGUCCACCCGGGAGGUGGAGUUUGCACCCAGCUACUUUUUGUAUUUUUGGUAGAGAUGGGGUUUUGCCAUGUUGCCUAGGCUGAUCUCAAAUUCCUGGGCUUAAACAAUCCUCCCAUCGUGGCCUCCCAAAGUGCUGGGACUACAGGUGUGAGCCACUAUGCCCAGCCAACUACAGCUUUCAUUGAACAAGAGACUGAUUUCAGCAACUUUCUCCAGCUCAGGAAAUUCACAGGCAGCUUGCAGCCACCGAAGGAAGAGUGAUUCAAAGAGAACGGCUGAUGUUCAUUAGGAACGGUGAACUUGGUGGCUUUUUCAUUUAUCCCAGUCACAUACCCCACUUCCUACAAAGAUUUUAAGAGAAUUGGACUAGGAUCAACACAGCUAGCUUGGCCCCGAUGGGACAGAGAAGACGCCAUGUUGUGCGGGACACCAUGUCGCAGUUACAGGAAGGAAAAAGAAUUUGUGCCAAGAACCAUGAGGAAUCAUUCCUGGGGGCUCCACGAAGGAAGUGGCAAAGUGCCCCACUGGCUUUGAGAAAUGAUGGACUUGGGGCUGCUAUGUGCUCCCCAAAGACUGUGUUGCCGCUCUUCGAACUGGAGGGUCUACAGCAGCUUGUCCUGUGUCCACUGGGUGUGCAGUCAUUGGGUGUGGGGCAGACAAUCGGCCUCUUAGUCUUCCGUCCACAUUGGAGAGGAACUGUAACAGGUAAGCUGCACCUGAGGCCUCUCAUUUGCACCUGGACCUAAUUAUAUCACAAGAGCAGGAGGCCAGGACAGACGUGGCUUUGCAGGGAGGGGUGGGUGUAUUCUGCAUGUGCAAGGAAUAUAAGUAAUUCAUGGCUAGAGGAUGGACUGCUUUGGAUUUAAACAUGUCAAAUGCCUUGACACUUCUCUCAUCAAAAUUGCAGCAUAAGCCAAGGGCAGUAUUGCACACCUGUAGUCCUGGCUACUCAAGAGGCUGAGGCAGGAGGACCACCUGGAGGGCAAGGCCUGGGGGGUCAAGGCUUCAGGGAGCUAUGAUGACACCACCGUACUCCAGCCUGGGGGACAGAGUGAGACCUUAUCUCAAAACAAACAAACAAACAAAAAACAGGCUGGGUGCGGUGGCUUGGGAGGUCAAGGCGGGUGGAUCACUGAGGUCAGGAGUUUGAGACCAGCCUGGUCAACACGGUGAAACCC